GACGGGGGGGGCAAGUGUUCUUCGGAAGGACUGGGCGGAAAGGGCACGUAGGCGGUGAAUCGGGUUGAAAGUGAAAGUCGCCAAAAAGUGGCGGAAUGCUCUCGAAACCAAUUCACUUGAGUGAGACAGAGGAGAGUGGAAUUUCGUGUGUAGGGGUGAAAUCCGUAGAUCUACGAAGGAACGCCAAAAGCGAAGGCAGCUCUCUGGGUCCCUACCGACGCUGGGGUGCGAAAGCAUGGGGAGCGAACAGG
rnacentral:rRNA from 1 species